AUUGAACGCUGGCGGCAGGCCUAACACAUGCAAGUCGAGCGAGCGGCGGACGGGUGAGUAAUGUAUGGGGACUGCCCGAUAGAGGGGGAUAACUACUGGCAACGGUGGCUAAUACCGCAUACUAUCGGAUAACCCAUAUGGGAUUCGGUAUUAGGUGGGGUAAAGGCGCACCAAGGCGACGAUCUCUCGCUGGUCUGAGAGGAUGAACAGCCACACUUGGACUCAGACACGGCCCAGACUCCUACGGAGGCAGCAGUGGGGAAUAUUGCACAAUGGGCGCAAGCCUGACGCAGCCAUGCCGCGUGGAUGAAGAAGGCCUUAGGGUUGUAAAGUACUUUCAGAGGGGAGGCGUUACCCGCAGAAGAAGCACCGGCUAACUCCGUGCCAGCAGCCGCGGUAAUAC
rnacentral:rRNA from 1 species